UGCCAGCAGCCGCGGUAAUACGAGGGGUGCUAGCGUUAUUCGGAAUUACUGGGCGUAAAGGGUGCGUAGACGGCGUACUAAGUCUGUUGUUAAAUCCUCCGGCCUAACCGGAGAAUCGCGAUGGAAACUAGUAUGCUUGAGGGUGAGAGAGAGAAGUGGAAUUCUCGGAGUAGCGGUAAAAUGCGUAGAUAUCGAGAGGAACACCAAUUGCGAAGGCAGCUUUCUGGAUCAUUACUGACACUGAGGAACGAAAGCAUGGGUAGCGAAGAGGAUUAGAUA
rnacentral:rRNA from 1 species